UGGUCUCGAGUCUCCCUUAACGGGGGUGCCGUUAGCAGCGGCGCGGGGAACGAGCGGCGUCUGCGGAAGCCCCUGCGGAAGGAGGGGCUCCGGCCAGGGUCGAGCUGCGGUAAUAACGGUCACUGCUGCCUCUUUCCCUCUCCCAGAGGCCACGCUGUGGGUGCGGUUGUCCGUUCGUCCCCUGGGGAUGCCGUUGACUGCAGCAGCCUCAGGCUUGCGUGGGCUGUCUCUGCCUGGCCUCCCUCUCCUUGCGGCGCGGGAGCGCAGAGGGACAGGCGGAGCGCUUACUGGCUGUGGACAGGAGCUGCAGAAGCUGACGCUGAAGCUGGAGAGGCCACAGAAAGGUAAAGCUGCUGAAGAAUAAAAUAAAGAGGAUCCAGCCACUAGCUGCAGACAGGAGAUAGCCUGCCUCUCCAGGUGGAUGACAGUCAAGUGAGUGCAGCUACAGAGGAGGAAGGGAGAGGGAGAGAGAGACAGACAUGUCUGAACUGUCAAAUUCUCCCAGCAGCUCCAACAGCGGGAGAAGCUGUCAGUCCUGCAGACACCAAGGUCAGUGAAGAAGAAAAAGGAGGUGGUGAUCCAGGUCCUAAAGCAGAGAUUCCCCUGCAGCCUGCAGUGAAGACCAUGGUGACACAGGCUGUCCCCCUGCAGCCCACGGAGGUCCAUGGCGGAGCAGAUAUGCACCCUGCAGCCGAUGGAGGACCCCUCGCCAGAGCAGGCGGAUUCACCCGAAGGAGCCUGUGACGCUGUGGAGAGGAGCCCACACUGGAGCAGGUUUUCUGGCAGGACCUGCAGCCCCAUGGGAGUGACACCACACUGGAACAGAAGAAGAGCACAAAGAAGGAAGGAGCAGCAGAGACAACUUGUGAUGAACUGACUGUAA